rnacentral:tRNA from 1 species
AUUUAUAUAGUUUAAUUAAUUAAAACACUACAUUUUCACUGUAGAAAUAAAGAAAUCUUUUAUAAAUA